AGAUUAAGUUAUUAAGGGCGCACGGUGGAUGCCUUGGCACUAGAAGCCGAUGAAGGACGUUACUAACGACGAUAUGCUUUGGGGAGCUGUAAGUAAGCUUUGAUCCAGAGAUUUCCGAAUGGGGAAACCCAGCAUGAGUUAUGUCAUGUUAUCGAUAUGUGAAUACAUAGCAUAUCAGAAGGCACACCCGGAGAACUGAAACAUCUUAGUACCCGGAGGAAGAGAAAGAAAAUUCGAUUCCCUUAGUAGCGGCGAGCGAAACGGGAAGAGCCCAAACUAACAAGCUUGCUUGUUGGGGUUGUAGGACACUCUAUACGGAGUUACAAAGGACGACAUUAGACGAAUCAUCUGGAAAGAUGAAUCAAAGAAGGUAAUAAUCCUGUAGUCGAAAAUGUUGUCUCUCUUGAGUGGAUCCUGAGUACGACGGAGCACGUGAAAUUCCGUCGGAAUCUGGGAGGACCAUCUCCUAAGGCUAAAUACUCUCUAGUGACCGAUAGUGAACCAGU
rnacentral:rRNA from 1 species